GACGAACGCUGGCGGCGUGCUUAACACAUGCAAGUCGAACGGAAAGGCCUUUUCGGAGGUACUCGAGUGGCGAACGGGUGAGUAACACGUGGGUGAUCUGCCCUGCACUCUGGGAUAAGCCUGGGAAACUGGGUCUAAUACCGGAUAGGACCGCACUUUAGUGUGUGUGGUGGAAAGUUUUUUCGGUGUAGGAUGAGCCCGCGGCCUAUCAGCUUGUUGGUGGGGUAAUGGCCUACCAAGGCGGCGACGGGUAGCCGGACUGAGAGGUUGGUCGGCCACAUUGGGACUGAGAUACGGCCCAGACUCCUGCGGGAGGCAGCAGUGGGGAAUAUUGCACAAUGGGCGCAAGCCUGAUGCAGCGACGCCGCGUGGGGGAUGACGGCCUUCGGGUUGUAAACUCCUUUCGCCAGGGACGAAGCGUUUUGUGACGGUACCUGGAGAAGAAGCACCGGCUAACUACGUG
rnacentral:rRNA from 1 species